UACAGGAAAAAAACGAUUCUACAUACGCCCGUCUCUCUAUCCCCACGAGAACACGAACCAUCCCGGCCACCCGGCGCUAGGGUUCCCUCCGCCGCCACGCCCCAUCCCUCCGCUCCCAGCAACCCUCUCCACCCUCUCCCAUCCCCAGUCGUCGUCGUAGCCCCUCGCCGGCGUUCGAUAUCCAAGACGGAGCCUCGGCCGACAGCUCCUUGGAGCACGCCGCCCGCCGGUGGAUGCCCUGAUUCUGCGCGACCCCGCCGGAGACUCACCUCGCCACCUUGGCGCCUCCCGCAGGAUCUCCGCCACCGCCUAGCGCUUCUGUGCGCAAGGAUGUCGACGCCUCUCCCUGAUUCAAUGAUGACAACACGCACACCUUUCCCUGAUGCUUGGGCAAAGGCAUGUAUGUCCGAUGUGCAGGCAAAACUUUAUAGAUGCAGAUUACAUACAUUAGAAAUUGCCAACUCGGUGGAUGAUAAAUACUAUGACUUGGGACUCAGAAAAAAGAUCAACACGUAGAUGCAGAUUACAUAGAUCAGGACUUGCUAACUCGGCGUAUGACACAUACUAAACGACAUCAACACGUAGGUGAGACCAUUGACUAUUAGAGGUGAGUCGGCAAGCUGUUUUCUUCCAUGGUUUGGCAUGUAACUUUGUGUUCUCUAGCUCAUUUUAGUUUUAUAUUUUUCUAACAAACAAGACCAACCUUAACUUAAGAAGAAUAGCAUCAUUAUAACCAUGAAAAAAAUCUGCUUAAAUGUAAGGCUUUUGUUCGUCUAUUAAGUCAUUACCCGUCUAAAUGAGACACGAAAAUAAUGAAUUCUUACAUGGUAAGUUUUUGUUUCAUUUUCAUUCUUUGCCUUAUCCCGUGUUGGAAAAGAAGUUCAAUUGUUUUUUUCCUCACAAUGUACCAAAGAUUCUGAUGAAAGAUGCUUAUUUUUCUCUCAGCUUCAAGAAACAGUCACUAUAUACUCUGUUUUGUAUAUAUUAUGUAGUUGUAAGGAGAUGUUUUAUUUUCUUUAUAUGCUACUAUUUUAACAUCUUGGAAGAGUCCUGAAUUUAUUGGAGACAACAAAGUGGGCGCACCAUGUGAGUUAUUUGGCACCUUGAUGCAGCAAAUCAACACAUGUUUGAGCUACAACGGAGGUCACAUAAAUAAAUCAGAGGAAUAGACUCGGCAAGGAAGGGAGCUACUCCAGUGUAGUCGGUGGAAUUGACUGGCAAAGUAAAUCAUGAAUCUCCUGGUUGGACCAAGAGGCUAAGAAUUGGGGCUGCACCUCCUACAACAGUUAGUUUCAUCGGUGGCCCGCCAACAACACUGGUGAAGGAAUGAGGGUGGCCCGAGACCGAUAACAGGGGGCUCUUGAACUGGCAAAGCCAGAAGCCACCAUCGCUUCAUUGUCCCUGGAGAUCGUUUGGUGAUGUCCGAUGGAUAUCACGUGACGGAGUGGAGACGCACACUCCCCUGCCCCAACUUUGGUGGCGCCACCUACCAAUGCGGGGCACAGUCCUGCCUGCCCCGGCCUACAUCUUGAUUGUAAAUUUCUCUCACCUUCUAUCUCGUGUUCAUGUGGUCGUAUUGAUUUUGCCUUUUGAGAAGUGUUGAAAGAAGAUUAUGUGCUUCAGACGACUGAAUGUCCAGUAAUAUCAUCAACCUUCAGCCA